UACAGAGGUGCCGAGCGUUGUUCGGAGUUACUGGGCGUAAAGCGUGCGUAGGCGGUGCCAUAAGUCUGUUGUGAAAUCUCCCGGCUUAACUGGGAGGGUGCGGUGGAAACUGUGGUGCUGGAGUGUGGGAGAGGUAGGCGGAAUUCCUGGUGUAGCGGUGAAAUGCGUAGAUAUCAGGAGGAACACCUGUGGUGUAGACGGCUUACUGGACCAUGACUGACGCUGAGGCACGAAAGCGUGGGGAGCAAACAGG
rnacentral:rRNA from 1 species